rnacentral:rRNA from 1 species
GACGAACCGUGCAAACGUUAUUCGGAAUCACUGGGCAUAAAGGGCGCGUAGGCGGCUUUCUAAGUCAGGGGUGAAAUCCGGCAGCUCAACUGUCGCAGUGCCUUUGAUACUGGAGAGCUCGAGGGAGGUAGGGGUCUGUGGAACUUCCGGUGGAGCGGUGAAAUGCGUUGAUAUCGGAAGGAACACCGGUGGCGAAGGCGGCGUCCUGGACCAACACUGACACUGAUGAGCGAAAGCCAGGGGAGCAAACGGG